GACGAACGCUGGCGGCGUGCUUAACACAUGCAAGUCGAACGGAAAGGCCCUGCUUGCAGGGUGCUCGAGUGGCGAACGGGUGAGUAACACGUGGGUGAUCUGCCCCUUACUUUGUGAUAAGCCUGGGAAACUGGGUCUAUUACUGGAUAGGACCAUGCUGUAGGUGGUGUGGUGGAAAGAUUAGUUUCGGUAAGGGAUGAGCUCGCGGCGUGUCAGCUUGUUGGUGGGGUAAUGGCCUACCAAGGCGUCGACGGGUAGCCGGCCUGAGAGGGUGGACGGCAACAUUGGGACUGAGAUACGGCGCAGAAUCCUACGGGAGGCAGCAGUGGGGAAUAUUGCACAAUGGGCGCAAGCCUGAUGCAGCGACGCCGCGUGGGGGAUGACGGCCUUCGGGUUGUAAACUCCUUUCAGCCAUGACGAAGCCCUUGUGGUGACGGUAGUGGUAGAAGAAGCACCGGCUAACUACGUG
rnacentral:rRNA from 1 species